AUCUUUUUUAUUUUACAUUUUGUUUUUUUUUUCACGAGUGGAAAAGUUUUAAAUACAAAAAUCUUUCGCGAAGCCGAGCCGAGACCCGGUUCGCUAGAAAAAUUCAUUAAUGAUCCUUCCGCAGGUUCACCUACGGAAA
rnacentral:misc_RNA from 1 species